GGGUGGAAGGGCGAGGAGAAAGAGGCGUGGCCUCGAUCCCUGCGGACGUGGCUUGUGGGCAAGAAAAGCGCGCGCAUGAGCAUAAAGCGGAUAACAGGGCUGAGGGUUGGGAGGGGCGGUGUAGUUGGAAAAAGCCAAUUCCCUAGUGGAUGAGAGGGGAAGGAAGUCUCGCAAAGGGCCCGAUCGCCUUGGGAGUUCUUCUUUUGCCAGGAUUUCUAGUAACAGUUUCCAUCUGAAUAUCAGGAUAAUGGCAGGAUCCAAAGGCAAAAUGAAAAGGAGCAGCAAUCUCUCUUCUCAACAAGCAUAGUUCAAUUACCAUCUGGAAGCAAGAAGAUGCAUCUCUCUGGCACACUGUUUGCAAGAUUCACUGGUCUUAAGGAUGUAGUCCUCUCCUUAAUAUAUAUUUUAUUUUUUUAACCAAUUACAUGUAAUAACAAAUUUCCACAUGUUUUCCCAAGUUAUAUGAUCAAAUUUAUCUCCCUUCUUCCCUCCCUCUCUCUCUUCUCUUGCCCCUCCCAGUGCUGGCAGGCAAUUUAAUUUGGAUUAUACAUGUAUUAUCAUGCAAAACAUUUCCAUGUUAGUCAUUUUUGUGAGUAAUCUUAUAAAACCAAAACCCCAAAACAUAAACCCAAAUAAACAAGUGAAAACUUA